rnacentral:lncRNA from 1 species
CGAGGGGGCGCGCCGGCCGCGGUGGGGGCUGCUCCGCCAGGCUGCCGCCUCCCUGCGCCGCCGCUCGGGCCGCGCUCGAGCCGGCUUUGUCUGUUCGUAUCGCCCCGUCUCUGUUUCUGGGUGUCUCUGCCUCCCACCCGGUUGCGGCUGCGCCUCCCUCAGGUGCAGUCGUCUCCCCUCGCCCCCGUGCGCACGGCGCCCCCGCCGCUGUCCCCUCUUCCGGGAGCGCACAGGUGUGGGAGCCCCUCCCCCUCAGCCCAGAGAGCCAGCCCAGCCCUGCCGACCGCAGCACUCUCGGAAGGGCUCGGCCACCCGGAGCCUCGUCACGAGUCUUACCCAGGGUUCGGAGCGGGCCUGCAAGAAGGGGCAGGCCAGGCUGGGGCUGCAAGGCAGGGUCUUCCCUUGGAGAAGGGACCUGACUCUAUUAUUAAGAGAACGAAAGAGGCACUUGCCCUACAGUGUGUAGAGCAUGGCCUCUCUCCUGGAAUGGCAUCUUAUACAUAUAACCCAUUGGAGCCAAGAGUUUUACCUUUACAUGCAACUACAUUUUCAGAGAUUGAUUUGACUUCCUCUUCAGAUGUUUUUUCUAUUCAAGAGGUAAAACAUAGGGAUAUUUGGACUCUCAGAACAGCGGUCUGGAUUUUCCUCUUUGACCUUUGCUUACAUGGGGUUCCUCAGAAAGCAGAGUCUCAGAUAAAAUAUAUAUGCUAUAUCUUUUGAAGAACGCAGUUCCAGGGAAGCAGGAGAAAAGAAAAGGAGAAUGAGUCAGACAAGCAAGGAAAGCGACCGGAAUUGUGCCCCAAAGAGCUGGCGGCUGCGUGGUAGGACAUGCAUACUGUGUUUAAGCUCCCAUUUCACCUUUCAUUUUCUGAAAGACCUGUGAACUGCCGCAUCUCACAGGGGAAGAACCCACAGAACAUUAACAUCUCCAUUUCCAGGCUGCAGAGGUACCAAGCCAGUGGAUCCUCCCGCCCCCAUGUCUCUCACAAAGCUGCUUGUAGCCCAGUGGGGACCAGCAGGCGUCCAAGGACCCUGGGGAGCCGUGGUGGCAGCUAGGCUGUGUCUCCUGCAGGCCUCUCUGAAACUGCCUGGCUGGCUCAUGCCCUCUCAUUCUGUCCAGUCAUUGACGGUGGCUACACUGCAUUGAUCUGGGAACACAAUGUCAUUUCUUCCCUGACGGCGAAGAGACAAAUCCAGCAAGCCACAGAGCCCCUGUCACGGAGUGGAAAGCGAUGGUCUCUGAAGAGAAUCAACAAGGGGAGUUAAAAAAAGCAGAACCAGGCUGGGCACGGUAGCUCACACCUGUAAUCCCAGCACUUUGAGAGGUCGAGGUGGGCGGAUCUCCUGUGCUCCAAAGUUUGGGACCAGACUGGGCAACACAGGGAGACCCCAUCUCUACUAAAAAUAAUAAAAAAUACAUUCGUGGGACAUAGUGCAUGCCUGUGGUCCCAGCUACUCAGGAGCCUGAGAUGGGAGGAUCGCUUGAGCCCAGGAGGUCGGGGCUUCAGUGAGCCAUGAUCAUGCCACUGCACUCCAGCCUGGGCCACAGAGCCAGAUCCUGUCAUUAACAAAUAAAUAAAUAAAUAAAUAAAUAGGCCCAGCGUGGUGGCUCAUGCCUGUAAUCCCAGCACUUUGGGAGGCUGAGGCGGGUGGAUCACCUGAGGUCAGGCGUUCAACACUAGCUUUGCCAACAUGAUGAAACCCUGUCUCUACUAAAAAUACAAAAAUUAGCCAGUCAUGGUGGCGGGUGCCUGUAAUCCCAGCUACUCCGGAGGCUGAGACAGGAGAAUUGCUUAAACCUGGGAGGCAGGGUUGCAGUGAGUGGAGAUCAUGCCACUACACUCCAGUCUGGGCAACAGAGUGAGUGAGACUCCAUCUCAAAAAACAAUAAUAAUAAUAACAAAUGAUAAAUAAGUAACUUGAAGAAAGCAGCAAGACCAAACAAGAGCUAUAAUCCUAGGGUUUUAGCUGGUCCCAAGAUUGUAGACAGUAUUAAUCAUCUCCCUGCCCUGUCACCCAUUCUAGAUCCUUUCAGCCUUGCAGGUAGAGGUGGCCCAGAGCUUCACCCCUGAGGGAUCUGAGACCUUACUUUCCUCACCCUCGAUUGGGUCCAGCUGCUCAGUCUUUCUGUGUUUCUCCAUUUCAUGUGUGUUUUUUUUAACGUGUAGUUGACUUUAUAUUUUUUUAUCCAGUCUGAAAAUAUGUUUUUAUUUUAUUCCAUCCUUUUAUGGAACUCCUAAAAGAAACCAUAUAUUAUAGGAUUUUUGUGUGCUUGUGAAGUUACCAGAAACUGCAUCAGAAUUAAGCAAUUAACUGUGGAAAUGACUUUAAAUAGUCAUAGUUAAAGACUCUUCGUGUAACGACUAUUGUCUUUUUCCCGUGUGUAUUUUAAGCCCUAAAGAUACUUUUAUUAUUGUUGUUGUAGGCAGUCAGUGCAUUUACUGCUAACUUUUCUUUUCCGGUUUCCUUUGUUCGUUUCUGUGCUCUGUGCAUCCUGAAGGGCCCUUUGUUCAAGAUGACAUUUUUGUUCGUUACUUGUUCAGGUUUGUUGAACAAUUUUAUUAUUUUUUUAAAAAACAAAAUAUGCUUUAUUCCACUUUUAAUUUUGGAGCAUAUUUUCCUCAGGUAUAAAGUUUGAGGUUUGCAGUCUUUUUCUUCUUUCAGAGCUUUGAGAUAUUACUUCAUUUUUUUCUGGCUUCCAUUAUUUCUCAGAUAUGCCAGUCUUCUUUUUGCUCCUUUUAAAGUAACAUGUCUUUUUUUCUGUGGUUACUUUUAUAUUUUGUCUAUCCUUUAUUUUUAGCAGUUUUAGUAUAAUGUGUGGUUUUCCUUGUAUUUAUCCCCUUUGGUGUUCACAGGGCUUCUUUAAUCUGUGGUUUGGCAUCUUUUAUUGAUUUUGAAAAUUGUUGCUUAGUGUUUCUUUUUUUUUUUUUUUUUUUGAGAUGGAGUCUCGCUCUGUCUCCCAGGCUGGAGUGCAGUGGCAUGAUCUGGGCUCAUGACAAGCUCCACCUCCCGGGUUCGCGCCGUUCUCCUGCCUC